GUUUUGGAGUGGGUGUGCCCCAGCUACUGUGAACUUGGACCCCAUUGCAGGAGCCUUUCUCAGGAUGCUCUUCUUUUCUCUGCCCAGACCUGGAGUACAUUAGCAGCAGGGAAUACUUGAUAUUAGAGCAAAUGUUUUAAA